AUUGAACGCUGGCGGCAGGCUUAACACAUGCAAGUCGAGCGGAGCGAGGGUGCUUGCACCUUAGCUUAGCGGCGGACGGGUGAGUAAUGCUUAGGAAUCUGCCUAUUAGUGGGGGACAACAUUCCGAAAGGAAUGCUAAUACCGCAUACGCCCUACGGGGGAAAGCAGGGGAUCUUCGGACCUUGCGCUAAUAGAUGAGCCUAAGUCGGAUUAGCUAGUUGGUGGGGUAAAGGCCUACCAAGGCGACGAUCUGUAGCGGGUCUGAGAGGAUGAGCCGGCACACUGGGGCUGAGACACGGCCCAGACUCCUACGGGAGGCAGCAGUGGGGAAUAUUGGACAAUAGGGGGAAGCCUGGUCUAGCCAUGCCGCGUGUGUGAAGAAGGCCUUUUGGUUGUAAAGCACUUUAAGCGAGGAGGAGGCUACUUAGAUUAAUACUCUGGGAUAGUGGACGUUACUCGCAGAAUAAGCACCGGCUAACUCUGUGCCAGCCGCCGCAGUAA
rnacentral:rRNA from 1 species